AGCUUUUUGUAGUUUGUCAGUCAAACAGAACAGGAUGCACACAUGCUCUCAACAUACUUGUAGAUACACACACACACACACACACACACACACACACCCACACCUAAUUACAUAGUUUCAAUUAUUUGGCACAAAAAGUCUUCCCACAGAUAUUUUACAUAGGUAGUAAGCUCUGUACUCUGUGUACUUCCAAAUAAACAAGGGUUUUUGUUAGGUGUGCCAUCCUAACCACCAUCACUAUACCAAUCCAAAAAAUAUCUACCAAUAGCAAUUUGAUACCUAAACUCAGAAAUCUGAUGAUGCAUAUCUUACCAGUGCUUUCUUUCUGAAAUUUAAAAUCUGUAACUCUUAGGAGUCAUCUUAUUUAAGGUUACAUAAAUGCAAGUUCUCUUCUUAAUUAUAACUGGAGACAUCUAUUAAUACAUUGUCGUUAUUUUUAGGCCUGUGCAUAUUGAAAUUAUAUUCUUCUAGUCAGUUUGAGAUUGUAGCUCUGAAAACUGGCGGCCAGCUGUGACUGAGUGUAGAUGACUGAAACGCUAAAGUGACAAAGAAAGUAUAUUUAGUGUUGAUCGGUUACAUCUGGCUGAUAGCGCUCCUCUUCAUAAAGUCAGUAGUGAUGCCAAUACCAAGGGUCAGAUUACCUCUUAGGAUCCACACUGCUUUAACUUUAUCUAAAA